rnacentral:lncRNA from 12 species
AUCCAAUGUUCCUAGAUACCUUCACUGGUUAAUUUUUUUUAUUAUUAUUAAAGGUUCAACAGCCAUGUAGAAAGAAAGUUGGCAAAUGCCCUCAGUGAAGAGAUGAAGUUUUGAGACACAACUUUUAAGAAGAUCGAUGUUGCAUCACUGUGCAGGGGCCAUGGAGUCCCCAGAGAUGGCCCAAGGGGAAGAGGGUGAGGAGCCGACAAGUAACGCUAAGGCUCAUUUUGUGAAGCUGCCCAUGGGAUGGUCAGAAUCACAAGCCAGAGCAGCUCACUUGUUCAAGUGGAGGACACAGGAACACUUAAUGCAUU